GAUGAACGCUAGCUACAGGCUUAACACAUGCAAGUCGAGGGGUAACGAGAGGAAAGCUUGCUUUCCUUGUCGACGACCGGCGCACGGGUGAGUAACGCGUAUCCAACCUGCCCCCAACUAGGGAAUAACCUUGCGAAAGUAAGACUAAUACCCUAUAAUUUCCUCAGAUGACAUCUGACGAGGAAUAAAGAUUUAUCGGUUGUGGAUGGGGAUGCGUCUGAUUAGCUUGUUGGCGGGGUAACGGCCCACCAAGGCAACGAUCAGUAGGGGUUCUGAGAGGAAGGUCACCCACAUUGGAACGGAGACACGGUCCAAACUCCUACUGGAGGCAGCAGUGAGGAAUAUUGGUCAAUGGGCGGAAGCCUGAACCAGCCAAGUAGCGUGCAGGAUGACGGCCCUAUGGGUUGUAAACUGCUUUUAUACAGGAAUAAAGUUAGCCACGUGUGGUUAUUUGUAGGUACUGUAUGAAUAAGGACCGGCUAAUUCCGUGCCAGCCGCCGCAGUAA
rnacentral:rRNA from 1 species